rnacentral:rRNA from 1 species
UACGGAGGGGACUAGCGUUGUUCGGAAUUACUGGGCGUAAAGCGCACGUAGGCGGAUUUGUAAGUCAGGGGUGAAAUCCCGAGGCUCAACCUCGGAACUGCCUUUGAUACUGCGAAUCUCGAGUCCGGAAGAGGUGAGUGGAAUUCCUAGUGUAGAGGUGAAAUUCGUAGAUAUUAGGAAGAACACCGGUGGCGAAGGCGGCUCGCUGGGCAGUGGCUGACGCUGAGGCGCGACAGCGUGGGGAGCAAACAGG